rnacentral:rRNA from 1 species
CCGUGCUAAGUGGCGAAGGAUGUGGCGUUUCAUAAACAACCAGGAUGUUGGCUCAGAAGCAGCCACCAUUUAAAGAGUGCGUAAUAGCUCACUGGUCGAGAGACGCUGCGCCGAAAAUGUCCGGGGCUCAAGCACGGAACCGAAGCUAUGGCAUUGACUAUGUCAAUGGGUAGGGGAGCGUUCUUAACAGGAAGAAGCAUGACCGGAAGGACAUGUGGACCGUUAAGAAGUGAGAAUGCCGGUAUGAGUAUCGAAAAGAAAGGUGAGAAUCCUUUCCACCGAAAGCCCGAGGGUUCCUGAGCAACGAUCGUCGUCUCAGGGUAAGUCGGGACCUAAGCCGAGGCGGAGACGCAUAGGCGAUGGACAACAGGUUGAAAUUCCUGUACCGGAUACAAUCGUUUGAGCGAUGGAGCGACGCAGAAAGGCAUAUGAUCGCGCGACUGGAAGAGCGCGUCCAAGUGCGUAUGUUGAAUCGGAGGCAAAUCCCUGAUUCUGAAAGCAGAGACACGAUGGGGAGUUAUACGAAAGUAUGACGAACUCAUAGAUCCUACACUGCCAAGAAAAACUUCUAGUGAGAAAGUAUCCGCCCGUACCGUAAACCGACACAGGUAGGCGGGGAGAGAAUCCUAAGGUGCGCGGGAAAACCCUCGUUAAGGAACUCGGCAAAUUGCAUCCGUAACUUAGGGAGAAGGAUGACCUUAAGUAAGCGAAAGGGAGAAACCCCUGGAACAGAACAAGGUGGCAGAAAAGAGGCCCAAGCAACUGUUUACCAAAAACACAGGUGCCUGCGAAAGCGAAAGCUGAAGUAUAGGUGCUGACGCCUGCCCGGUGCUGGAAGGUUAAGGAGAGAUGUCAGAGCAAUCGAAGCAUUGAACUGAAGCCCCAGUGAACGGCGGCCGUAACUAUAACGGUCCUAAGGUAGCGAAAUUCCUUGUCGGGUAAGUUCCGACCCGCAUGAAAGGCGUAAUGAUUUGGGCACUGUCUCAACGAGGGGCCCGGUGAAAUUGAAAUACCUGUGAAGAUGCAGGUUACCCGCGACUGGACAGAAAGACCCCAUGGAGCUUCACUGCAGCUUGAGAUUGAAUCUCGGUGAUGCAUGCACAGGAUAGGUGGGAGACUAAGAAGUAUGGGCUUUGGCUUAUACCGAGUCGAUGUUGGGAUACCACCCUUGUAUUGCUGAGAUUCUAACACGGAGGCUAACAACCUCGUGGACCAUCUCAGGUAGGCGGUUUGACUGGGGCGGUCGCCUCCGAAAGAGUAACGGAGGCGCCCAAAGGUUCCCUCAGGUCGGACAGAAACCGACCGAAGAGUGCAAAGGCAGAAGGGAGCUUGACUGCGAGACAGACAAGUCGAGCAGAGACGAAAGUCGGGCUUAGUGAUCCGGUGGUACUGAGUGGAAAGGCCAUCGCUCAACGGAUAAAAGCUACCCUGGGGAUAACAGGCUAAUCUCUCCCAAGAGUUCAUAUCGACGGGGAGGUUUGGCACCUCGAUGUCGGCUCAUCACAUCCUGGAGCUGGAGUAGGUUCCAAGGGUUGGGCUGUUCGCCCAUUAAAGUGGUACGCGAGCUGGGUUCAAAACGUCGUGAGACAGUUUGGUUCAUAUCCAUCGCGGGCGCAAGAAGUUUGAGGGAGGCUGCUCCUAGUACGAGAGGACCGGAGUGGACGGAUCAACGGUGUACCAGUUGUCACGCCAGUGGCACGGCUGGAAAGCCGCAUCCGGAAAGGAUAAACGCUGAAAGCAUCUAAGCGUGAAGCCCGUCCCGAGAUGAGACUUCUCAUCAGCAAUGAGUAAGACCCCUUAAAGACGAUGAGGUUGAUAGGCUGUGAGUGGAAGGCCCGUAAGGGUUGGAGCGACGCAGUACUAAUAGGUCGAGGUCUUAACU